UUCCAUCAAAUUAAAAUAUGGCCACCUCUAAAAUUGCAGCCAUGCUCAUGAUUUGUCUUUUCUGGAGCUCUUUUAUCGCUGAAUGUAAGUUUGAUCUGCAUUAUUAUUUAUUUAUUUUGAAAUAAUAUUAAUAUUUAUUGUUAAUUAUGCAGGUGAAUUGAUGAACGAGAGUUCUCGAAAGAUGCUCAAGAAUGAUGUCCCGGACGGUGGUUUUUGUAUACCUAAUUUUUGUUCCGAUAAUAAUGAAAGUUCAACAAAGUUUCAAGUUUUCUGUUGGUGUUGUGUUGCAGGAAAUUUCAGCGGCUGCGUUAAAUCAAAAAAAGAGUGUAACAGACGUUGUUAAUAGUCAAAUUCAAGUAUACUUUGUAAUAAAUUGUGUAGAUUGUAGUACUAUUUCAUCACAAAAUUUUGGAACUGUGAAAUAAAAGUUGGACACUCGUGAUGAUGUAAUAUAUGUCUUCAUUUUAUUUACUGGAAAUUAAG
rnacentral:lncRNA from 1 species